AUAGAAGAGAAAGAGCAACCAAAGAGUGAGAGCCGAUGCAGCCUUGUCAAGUAUGUUUAUCUUUGUGUUUUACAGAGAUGCCUCUUAACUUGCACUUGAAGUUCAAGGGUUCUAGCUGAUCUCGGUAGUUCAAAAGGAAGGAAAGAAUAGGAACUGCCAUGAUUUUUUUUUGGAAAAGGAGUUUUGUUCUUGUUGCCCAGGCUGGAGUGCAAUGGUGUGGUCUCGGCUCACUGCAACAUCUGCCUCCUGGGUUCAAGAGAUUCUCCUGCCUCAGCCUCCGCAGUAGUUGGGAUUACAGGCAUGUGCCACCACGCCCAGCUAAUUUUGUAAUUUUAGUAGAGAUAGGGUUUCACCAUAUUGAUCAGGCUGGUCUUGAACUCCUGACCUCAGGUGAUCCGCCUGCUUUGGCCUCCCAAAGUGCGUGAGCCACCACGCCCAGCUUUUUUUUUUUUUUUUUUUUGAGAUGGAGUUGCGCUCUUUUUGCCUAGGCUGGAGUGCAACGGCACGAUCUUGGCUCACUGCAACCUCUGCCUCCCAGGUUCAAGUGAUUCUCCUGCCUCAGCCUCCCAAGUAGCUGGGAUUACAGGUGCCCACCGCCACGCCUGGCUAAUUCUGUAUUUUUAGUACAGACAGAGUUUUACCAUAUUGGCCAGGCUGGUCUCAAACUCCUGACCUCAGGUGAUGUGCCCGCCUCGGCCUCCCAAAGUGCUGGGAUUACAGGUGUGAUCCACUGAGCCUGGCCCUGCCACGACUUUUAAGCAGUUUCAGUUUCUUAAUGGGAAGCUCUGGAGAAACCUAAGAAGCUUAAGGUUCUGUCCAGUAUUUUGAAAUCUGACCUUCUUGUGCCUUCAAUAAUUGUUCGUAGACACUGCUUGAAAAUGUCUUCAAAUGGACUUGUCAGUAGACAAUUCUGCAAGAAAGGAAAGGAGACAGAUUUAGACGGCAGAUGUUUGGUGUUUAUUCACUUGUUUAACAUUGUUAGGUGACCCAUAGAAGUCAGCUGUUGGGCUAGGAGCUGAAGGAGACGCAAAGAUGAAAAAGACAUGGUCUUUGUCUUAAGGAGCUAAGUCUAGUCGAAGGGAGGAGAAGAGAUGUGGGAAUUAACCCUCUUGAAUGCAAUCUGAGAGAGACUAAAAGAAAGAGUACUUUGAAAUAUUUUCCAUGGAAGGUAAAGUAUCGUGAGACGAAGGAUUGGAGGUCCCAGACCUCAGCCAUGGAGAUGUCCCAGGAAGGACCAUUCGUGUUUUAUGCAAAGGACAGCAAGAUGAGUUAUAAGCUUGGGGUAUUGGCCAGGACAGGUUCUUUCACAGGGCAGCCCAUGACUGCCAGACACCUGCAUUUGUGCUAGUGCUCUUGUGCCUUAGCAGCAGGCAUCACAAACAAAGGAACAUUAGGACUUAUAUGUCCCUCCCCCAGC
rnacentral:lncRNA from 10 species